rnacentral:rRNA from 1 species
UACGGGGGGGGCAAGCGUUGUUCGGAAUUACUGGGCGUAAAGGGCUCGUAGGUGGCCAACUAAGUCAGACGUGAAAUCCCUCGGCUUAACCGGGGAACUGCGUCUGAUACUGGAUGGCUUGAGUUUGGGAGAGGGAUGCGGAAUUCCAGGUGUAGCGGUGAAAUGCGUAGAUAUCUGGAGGAACACCGGUGGCGAAGGCGGCAUCCUGGACCGAUAUUGACGCUGAGGAGCGAAAGCCAGGGGAGCAAACGGG